CGCGUAGGCGGACUAUUAAGUCAGGGGUGAAAUCCCGGGGCUCAACCCCGGAACUGCCCUUGAUACUGGUAGUCUUGAGUUCGAGAGAGGUGAGUGGAAUUCCGAGUGUAGAGGUGAAAUUCGUAGAUAUUCGGAGGGACACCAGUGGCGAAGGCGGCUCACUGGCUCGAUACUGACGCUGAGGUGCGAAAGUGUGGGGAGCAAACA
rnacentral:rRNA from 1 species